AGAACGAACGCUGGCGGCGUGGAUAAGACAUGCAAGUCGAACGCGACUUAUUCGGUUAGCAAUAACUGGGUGAGUUGAGUGGCGAAAGGGUGCGUAACACGUGGGAAUUUACCGAGAAGUGGGGAAUAGCUCGACGAAAGUCGAAUUAAUACCGCAUACGAUCGCAAGAUCAAAGCCGGGGACCGCAAGGCCUGGCGCUUUUUGAGAAGCCCGCGGCCCAUCAGCUAGUUGGCGAGGUAAAGGCUCACCAAGGCUAUGACGGGUAGCUGGUCUGAGAGGACGACCAGCCACACUGGAACUGAGACACGGUCCAGACACCUACGGGUGGCAGCAGUCGAGAUUUUUCACAAUGGACGAAAGUCUGAUGGAGCGACGCCGCGUGGAGGAUGAAGGUUCUUGGAUUGGUAAACUCCUGUCACUGCAGAACAAGGCUACACGUGUGAAUAGCGCGUGUAGUGAUGGUAUGGCGGAGGAGGAAGGGACGGACGUAACGUC
rnacentral:rRNA from 1 species